UCAGGACGAACGCUGGCGGCGUGCUUAACACAUGCAAGUCGAACGGUGAAGCCCAGCUUGCUGGGUGGAUCAGUGGCGAACGGGUGAGUAACACGUGAGCAACCUGCCCUCCACUUCGGGAUAAGCCUUGGAAACGGGGUCUAAUACCGGAUAUGAGCAUCUGCCGCAUGGUGGGUGUUGGAAAGUUUUUCGGUGGGGGAUGGGCUCGCGGCCUAUCAGCUUGUUGGUGGGGUGAUGGCCUACCAAGGCGUCGACGGGUAGCCGGCCUGAGAGGGCGACCGGCCACACUGGGACUGAGACACGGCCCAGACUCCUACGGGAGGCAGCAGUGGGGAAUAUUGCACAAUGGGCGAAAGCCUGAUGCAGCGACGCCGCGUGAGGGAUGACGGCCUUCGGGUUGUAAACCUCUUUCAGCAGGGAAGAAGGCCUUCGGGUGGACGGUACCUGCAGAAGAAGCGCCGGCUAACUACGUGCCAGCAGCCGCGGUAAUACGUAGGGCGCAAGCGUUGUCCGGAAUUAUUGGGCGUAAAGAGCUCGUAGGCGGUUUGUCGCGUCUGGUGUGAAAUCCCGAGGCUCAACUUCGGGCUUGCAUCGGGUACGGGCAGACUAGAGUACUGUAGGGGAGACUGGAAUUCCUGGUGUAGCGGUGGAAUGCGCAGAUAUCAGGAGGAACACCGAUGGCGAAGGCAGGUCUCUGGGCAGUCACUGACGCUGAGGAGCGAAAGCAUGGGGAGCGAACAGGAUUAGAUACCCUGGUAGUCCAUGCCGUAAACGUUGGGCACUAGGUGUGGGGCUCAUUCCACGAGUUCCGUGCCGCAGCUAACGCAUUAAGUGCC
rnacentral:rRNA from 1 species